rnacentral:rRNA from 1 species
AAAUUGAAGAGUUUGAUCAUGGCUCAGAUUGAACGCUGGCGGCAGGCCUAACACAUGCAAGUCGAACGGUAACAGGAAGCAGCUUGCUGCUUUGCUGACGAGUGGCGGACGGGUGAGUAAUGUCUGGGAAACUGCCUGAUGGAGGGGGAUAACUACUGGAAACGGUGGCUAAUACCGCAUAACGUCGCAAGACCAAAGAGGGGGACCUUCGGGCCUCUUGCCAUCAGAUGUGCCCAGAUGGGAUUAGCUAGUUGGUGAGGUAACGGCUCACCAAGGCGACGAUCCCUAGCUGGUCUGAGAGGAUGACCAGCCACACUGGAACUGAGACACGGUCCAGACUCCUACGGGAGGCAGCAGUGGGGAAUAUUGCACAAUGGGCGCAAGCCUGAUGCAGCCAUGCCGCGUGUAUGAAGAAGGCCUUCGGGUUGUAAAGUACUUUCAGCGGGGAGGAAGGUGUUGUGGUUAAUAACCGCAGCAAUUGACGUUACCCGCAGAAGAAGCACCGGCUAACUCCGUGCCAGCAGCCGCGGUAAUACGGAGGGUGCAAGCGUUAAUCGGAAUUACUGGGCGUAAAGCGCACGCAGGCGGUCUGUCAAGUCGGAUGUGAAAUCCCCGGGCUCAACCUGGGAACUGCAUUCGAAACUGGCAGGCUUGAGUCUUGUAGAGGGGGGUAGAAUUCCAGGUGUAGCGGUGAAAUGCGUAGAGAUCUGGAGGAAUACCGGUGGCGAAGGCGGCCCCCUGGACAAAGACUGACGCUCAGGUGCGAAAGCGUGGGGAGCAAACAGGAUUAGAUACCCUGGUAGUCCACGCCGUAAACGAUGUCUACUUGGAGGUUGUGCCCUUGAGGCGUGGCUUCCGGAGCUAACGCGUUAAGUAGACCGCCUGGGGAGUACGGCCGCAAGGUUAAAACUCAAAUGAAUUGACGGGGGCCCGCACAAGCGGUGGAGCAUGUGGUUUAAUUCGAUGCAACGCGAAGAACCUUACCUGGUCUUGACAUCCACAGAACUUUCCAGAGAUGGACUGGUGCCUUCGGGAACUGUGAGACAGGUGCUGCAUGGCUGUCGUCAGCUCGUGUUGUGAAAUGUUGGGUUAAGUCCCGCAACGAGCGCAACCCUUAUCCUUUGUUGCCAGCGGUCCGGCCGGGAACUCAAAGGAGACUGCCAGUGAUAAACUGGAGGAAGGUGGGGAUGACGUCAAGUCAUCAUGGCCCUUACGACCAGGGCUACACACGUGCUACAAUGGCGCAUACAAAGAGAAGCGACCUCGCGAGAGCAAGCGGACCUCAUAAAGUGCGUCGUAGUCCGGAUUGGAGUCUGCAACUCGACUCCAUGAAGUCGGAAUCGCUAGUAAUCGUGGAUCAGAAUGCCACGGUGAAUACGUUCCCGGGCCUUGUACACACCGCCCGUCACACCAUGGGAGUGGGUUGCAAAAGAAGUAGGUAGCUUAACCUUCGGGAGGGCGCUUACCACUUUGUGAUUCAUGACUGGGGUGAAGUCGUAACAAGGUAACCGUAGGGGAACCUGCGGUUGGAUCACCUCCUUA